GACGAACCGAGCGAACGUUGUUCGGAAUCACUGGGCUUAAAGGGUGCGUAGGCGGGCUGCCAAGUUUGAGGUGAAAUCCUCCGGCUCAACCGGGGAAGUGCCUUGAAUACUGGCGGUCUGGAGGGAGGUAGGGGCGUGCGGAACUAACGGUGGAGCGGUGAAAUGCGUUGAUAUCGUUAGGAACUCCGGUGGCGAAGGCGGCACGCUAGACCUCUUCUGACGCUGAGGCACGAAAGCCAGGGGAGCGAACAGG
rnacentral:rRNA from 1 species